AAAGUACUUGAUUCAAAUAACACAUAACACACAACAAAUAACAUGAUUCAAACAGAGCUAAUAACACAUAAAAUUUUAAAUGGCAACCAAAGUACUUUACAAUCAUGGCAGUAUAAAUCAGGUAUUCAACUAUAAAAUACAACUAAAUAUUAAUAUGGCCAGCUCCAGCUCCAGGGUUUUCUUCGGGAUUAUUCUCCUGGAGUUCCGUGUACACCAACUUUUGACGAAUGAAGGCCAAAAUCUGCGUGUUAUAAAUCAGAAAAGUUAGGAAUAUAAUCAAGUGAAUUCGUGCAUAUAACAUUCUCCUAACAAUGAAAAAUAGAUGCAGAAUUUUAGAUCUAAUAAGAAACCAUGCAUAUAACAUUCUCAUAACAGCAAGCCUGAGAUAUAUUUGGAAAGGUAAAAUGACAAGUAUCAACCCAGUGCAAGAUAAUAGAGCAACUAUGCCAAAGUUAUUCAGAUUUCCUGAUGUGUGUGUCGCGUUAUACAUGCAUCAAGAAGAUCGUAUAUAUACACAGAUUUAAUGCCUAAAGCACAUCAGGCUUGGAGCUUACGUAUAUAUACACGAUUACUAGUUGGAACUAGUGAACAAAGGUUGUGAAUGAUUUUCAUACGAGUAUGUAUAGUCAUGGUUCUGGACAUGAAAAUGUUUAUGUACAUUCAUGAAAGUUUUGCACAUGACAUGAGCAAGUAUGCAGUCCCUAAUUAGAUUACAUGUUCUGACUUAUGAGCACGAGAGGAAUACAUAGACAUUGGAAUAUCCUCAUGCUUAAAAUAGAAAGAGAACAAAAGAAAACUUAACCUAUCUAUGCAGCAGAGAGAGAUAGCAGGGCAGGAGGACCUAUGGACCAACUUGUCCUUCACCAGAUCAUUCAAGGGAAGAAAAAUAGCAGCAAAUCAGCUUGCCUGUUCCCGUUCACAGAACUAGACCAGAGCAGCCAUAUCGGAACAUAAAUAUAUGGUGAAUAGUUUGACACUAUCAGCUAUGCAGAUAUAUGGCUCAGGAACAUCUACUCAACAAACAAAGAGUGAUACUACUCUGGCACAUAGAGUUGAUGCAUCGGCAAAAUAUUUCAAAACUGGAUAACUGAGAUGAUUUGCUGAAUGAAAUCUUGUGGAGAUACUUACACCACAUAGCUAGCGUACCAUUGCACUUACACCAUAUAACGAGCGAGGGGUCGGGUCGGGGCACUGACCUAGAGUCAUAGGCGCGGGAGCUCACCUUGGCCUUCAUCCUGCCGCCAGACGCCAACCUCAUCAGAGCCCGCAAAAGCCAAAAUCUUGAACUGGCCGGGAACCACGCGGUACCUUGGGAUCGGAGCGAGGGUGAGGGGUGGGCUGGGACUCGGAUGCUGAGCUCCCUGCACACGGCAUAUUCUGUUAAUGCUUACAACAACAUAAGAUACUCACAUAUAAAAAUGCACCCUGGAAGUAUAAAGAGUGCUUCCUAGCACACCAAGAAUCCAACAGAAAGCAAACAUGUACACCGGUGAGCUGGUGACCAUAAAGUAACAUCAGAAAGACUCAGCCAUCACAAAUACUCAGCCCGAUCCUAAUAUAAAGCAAUUCAGAAACUCAAUGACAACAAAAUAUAUAGAAGAAAAAAAAGCUCAUUUGGUUGGAAAUUAAUUUUCAAAUCACAUUUUAAGUUGCUCUCUAUUGCAUGAACAACAACCACAUAAAAGUAUGAUGAAUAAACUAUAUGUCAGAAGAGAACCGAGCAGAGAAUAGACACUAAAAGAAAGCAGAUAGUAUACUCAGUACUUACUACAGAUUUUCUCACUGGAUACACACACACACACACGCUUUGCACAUGCAGAUUUGCUCCCUGCAAAAUCAAGUCUGAACUGUUGGCUAUAAUAAUUACUGCAACAAAAUUCCCAAAACAGAGAAUGGCGUCCUCCUUGACCAGACGAUCUGCAAAAAAAAACGCACAAACGCAAUGAGAUUCGAGCAAGCUGAAGAAAUGUUUGCAGAAACUUCGGAAAAUUAGUUGGACAGAAUCAACCAAUGGCUUGGUCCACCAGAGAUUUCUGCUCGUACCAUUGUAAAAUGUUUGCAGUAAAAAGAUUUGAUUUCUAAGCACGAGCUUAUGCGACCACAUUUAGUACAUAAUGUGACAAGUAGUAGAUAUGACAAUAGCAGCUACAAAUCAAAGUGCUCCUGUUACCAGAAUUUUUUAAGAUAGCCACUGGGCUUCACAAGUAUAUGCAAGAAACAGGUCCCAAUGCUUCACUUGAUGUUCUUUUUCUUAACAGUGGAUGAUGAAUAAAUUAUAUAGGAGGCAUCAUGUGAGGAUGAAAAGAAAUCUAGUGAAGUUUUUGUAUUAUUUGUACCUAUCAGGUUAAUAAACUUAAGCAACCCGAGUAACUUAACAAGGAAUCCAGUGAUAGUGCAAGUGCUGGAGUAAAGGCCAAGCAAUCCAGUAUGAUGAUAUGCAUGUCCAAAUGAGAUAAUGCAACAUUUCCUGCACAUUCCAAGUGUGUUUGCCUCUUGCAAGACCAACAUAUCCCUUUUACUUGUCUAGAACUUAGGAACCAAGCUAUUGACAGCAUCUAGAAUCUAGCAUCAGGCAAGCCAACGAUUGGAGUCAGACACCCUUUGCAGAUAUUCAGACAGAUUCAGGGUGACUGAUCCCUUUGCCGAACUUUGGUUGUGCUAAAUUACAGUGAAGGCGUGUAUCAUAAAAAUAGAAACUAGACAUGCACAUGACCAAACAGUUGGGUUCAGACAUCAUUAGAGCACGAGAUCUCCCAACUAACAAAUGCAUUUAAAACCCAACAUCUAAUUCUUAGCCUCUUACUACCUACCGCUCAAGUUCACAAUUGUUUUUAAAUCAGCUUCAUUCGUUUUGGUUCUUUUAGAGAGGAAAAAAGUGUUGGCUGUUAUUCUUAUUACCACUUAAAUAAAAUACCAUCAUGUGCAGAGUCACUUGGAGCAGUCGAGUAUGCUUUCGUGUUCUAGACAAUAAUGAUAUCAAAUUUCAAUUCAGAAGAGAAGUGCACCUAGACGGAUACUAGUACAACUGUCGUGCAACCAAAAUCAAGCAAGAAUAUCAAUGUCAAGACAGACACAGAAGCACGAGAAACUGGAUUAAUAGUUGUCCAAGCAGCUAGCAGCGGCAGUUAGACACUUAACCUCCCCCAACGCCUGGAAGAACGCAUUUCCUGCAGAUAACUUGGCACUGAAGUCGCAUCUAAACUAAAUAGUUGACUAAACAGACGAGCGUGGCAGCAGAUAUUCUCAUGGAGGAAGGAAGGGAGGAAGCAGUUCCAUCCAUUUAGGCAACAAACAUACUACAUACUGACAAGGGAGGCGAAACGAAGGGGGGUCACCUUCUUGUCCUUGAUCUCCCGAGACUGGAUCCAGGUCUUGAUCUGGUCGCGGUAGCGCUGCAACUUCUUGAUCUCCUUCUUGAGGUCCGCCUCGAACCUCUCCUUCUGGUUGGCAUUCUCGGUGUCGUACACCUACCGCAGGAGAAUCAUGAGGAAAUCAUGCAAAAUCCUAAGAAUUGGGGGUUGGGGGAGAGGAGGGGGUACCUUGUUCCAGAUGCUGUCGAAGACAUUGACGCCCUCCUGCACCUUCUUGAGCACGCGGUCGAUCUCGCCCUGCAGCUUCCGACUGGCCCCCGGCAGUCCAUCUCCAUCUGCAGGAGUUGGUCGCUGGGGGGCGGCCGCCGCACAUCCCAUCGACGGCUCACUCACCAGUGUGCGGCGACUCGGUGGGGCAGAGGAGAGGUCAGCGCGAUUGGAGUGGGGAUGGGAUGGGUGCGAUGGAGGAGGGGGGAGGCUUAAUUUGGGCAUGGCAUUGUGGCUGGGUGGGGAGGGGAAUCGCCGCGGCCCGAUCUCCGCCUGCUCUGACGAGAUUGAGGGGAGGAUUGGGCUGGCUUGAGCAGGGAGGAUCCCGCCAUGGCCGCGUCGGCGAAGAAGGACUGGGGCGCGCGAGGGUGGCAGGACGGUGGAUGAAGGCGCGCGAGGGAGGAUCCCGCCAUGGCCGUGUCGUCGUAUCCAGCGCCGUAGGCGGCGGCGGCGAGUAGAUGGGGAUGAGAAGAUCUUAGUUAGGGUUGCAGGAGGAGGAGGUGUUCGAUGGGAUCUGAUUUAGGGUUGUAGGAGGGGGAGUGCGAUGGGAGACUGAGGCCGGCGGCGAGUGGGUAGGUGGAUGGGACGAGGGGUGAGAGGGUGAGUGGGUGUGGGCCGUUGGAUCUGGGAGUAUCCGACGAUCUCUAAUGCUUGAUCCGCGUGACAUGCCGAUAGACCAAUCAGAACGAAGUAUAGACUUUGAUGAUGUUAUGACCUUCUAAAUUGGUCGUAAUUGAUUAACAAUAGCUAGAUGAUUUUGCCUAGAAAUCAUCCGCCUAGCUAGCCGCCCGAUCCAUCCAUUGGUGGUCGUUCGAUCACAUCAAUGUGUCACAACAGCACCGAGCGUGAAAAAGCUUCAAUGCAACACCAAUGACAUCCCCAUGAAGCUCCAUUGCAUCUCUCGACGGUGCUUCAAGAGUUCCAGCGCAGAACCACGGUGCCCGACGAAGCUCCGUUGCAGCGUCGGGGAGAUCCAACGCAGCACCACAACAACCGGCGGUAAGUUUCCUUCUCUUUUUUUGACAAUGUUUGUUAAGGUUCCUCAUAAGUAGUAGUAUUUUUCCCUCGAAUAACAAAAAAUACAUUUUCCAUUUUUGAGUGCCCAAAAUGAGUUUUUUUGUAAACGACCUACCAUAUAUUUGUUGCAAAACUGGACCAAAUCAUUUUUAUAAAAUACUAGGCCAUAUUUAAUGCACAAUUGACCAAAUGGUUGGGUGUCAAAAACUUUUAUCCACCUCUCGCGAAAAAGACAAAUUUCCGCCGAUUUAGCGAGAAGCGGGUCAAAUUUGAACUGCAGCUGCCUCAUAGUUUGGUCUUUAUUUUUUCCAAAAAUCAUUUCUAAGUACAUAAGUAUGUAUUUAAUCAUAGAAACACAAAAAAAAUUCCAAGAUUCAACCACUAGCUAUGAACGGCCAUGCCCGCUGUUUUGACCGCAUUUUAAAACGGGCAUAAAAAAUAAAAAAAAAUAAAAAAAAUUGGGAAACCUUCUCGUUGUGUCAUUACAUGUGACCAAGUUCCCAAGAAAAAUAAUAAAAUUGUAAUACGGCAAUUAUGUUAAAAAAGUGUUCUCAGAAAUGAGCUAUCAUGCAUGAAGAUGCAUGGAUUUCAAGCCAAAUGAUCAAUCUCAAGGCCACAUUCAUAGCAUAGUUUGUUCAAAUGAUCUCAUAUCGUGCACAAGGGUGCAUCUUGGAAUUCCAAACAAUGUUGCCUAAGUGAUUUUUCAUUUUCGUUGCAUGGAAAAUUCAUUUUCCAUUUUUCGAGUGCCCGAAAUGAGGUUUUUUUGUGAAGGGCCUACCAUAUAUUUGUUGCAAAAUUGUACCAAAUCAAUUUUCUAAAAUACUAGGACAUAUUUAAUGCACAAUUGACCAAAUGAUUGUGUGUAAAAAGUUUUGAUCCACCUCUAGUGAAAAAGACAAAUUCCCGCCGAUUCAGUAGGAAGCGGGUCAAAUUUGAACUGCAGCUACCUCGUAGUUUGCUCCUUAUUUUUUCCAAAAAACAUUUCUAGGUACAUAAGUAUCUAUUUAAUGAGAGAAACACCAAAAAAUUCCAAGAUUCAACCACUAGCUAGGAACGGUUAUUCCCGCUGUUUUGCCCGCAUUUUGAAAUGGGCAUAAAAAAUUCAACAAAAAUUAAAAAAAAUGGAAAACCUCCGCAUUGUGUCAUUAUAUGUGACCAAGUUUCCAGAAAAAAUAAUAAACUUGUAAUACGGACAUUAUUUUAAAAAAGUGUUCUUAGAAACGAGCUAUCAUGCGUGAAGAUUCAUGGCUUUCAAGCCAAAUGAUCAAUUUUAUGGCCACGUUCAUGGCAUAGUUUGUUUAAAUGAUAUCAUAUUGUGGACAAUGGUGCAUCUUGGAAUUCCAAACAAUGUUUCCUAAGGGAGUUUUCAUUUUCUUUGGACGAAAAAUCCAUUUUCCAUUUUUGAGUGCCCGAAAUUAGUUUUUUUGUGAAUGACCUACCAUAUAUUUGUUGCAAAAUUGGACCUAAUCAAUUUUAUAAAAUACUAGAACAUAUUUAAUGCACAAUUGACCAAAUGUUUGGGUGUAAAUUUUAUUGAUCCACCUCUCAUGAAAAAGACAAAUUCCCGCUGAUUCAGUUGGAAGCGGGUCAAAUUUGAACUGUAGUUGCCUCGUAGUUUGCUCUUUGUUUUUCCCAAAAAUCGUUUUAGGUACAUAAGUAUCUAUUUAAUCAGAUAAACACCAAAACAAUUUCAAGAUUCAACCACUAGCUAGGAACGGUCAUUCCCGCCGUUUUGACCGCAUUUUAAAACGGGCAUAAAAAAUUCAAAAAAAUCAAAAAAUUGGAAAACCUUCGUAUUGUGUCAUUAUAUGUGGCCAAGUUUCUACGAAAAAUAAUAAACUUGUAAUACGGAAAUUAUUUUAAAAAAGUGUUCUCAGAAAUGAGCUAUCAAGUGUUAAGAUUCAUGGCUUUCAACCCAAAUGCUCAAUCUUAUGGCCACAUUCAUGGCAUAGUUUGUUUAAAUGAUCUAAUAUUAUGCACAUGGGUGCAUAUUGGAAUGGCAAACAAUGUUGACUAAGGAAGUUUUCUUCUUCUUUGCACCAAAAUUUCAUUUUCCAUUUUUUGAGUGACCAAAAGAGUUUUUCUGUGAAGGGCCUACCAAAUAAUUGUUGCAAAAUUGGACCAAAUCAACUUUCUAAAAUACUAGGCCCUAUUUAAACCAAAAUUUACCAAAUGGUUGGGUGUCAUAAGUUUUGAUCCACUUCUGGUCAAAAAGACAAAUUUUCGCCGAUUCAGCGGGAAGCGGGUCAAAUUUGAACUACCGCUACCUUAUAGUUUACUAUUUAUUUUUUCAAAAAAUUAUUUCUAGGUACAUAAGUAUCUAUUUAAUCAUAGAAACACCAAAUUUUUUCCAAGAUUCCACCACUAGCUAGGAACGGUUAUGCCCACAGUUUUGACCGCAUUUCGAAACGGGCAUGAAAAAUUCAGAAAAAAUUAAAAAAUUGGAAAACCUUCGCAUUGUGUCAUUAUAUGUGAUCAAGUUACCAGGAAAAAUAAUAAACUUGCAAUACGACAAUUAUUUUUAAAUAGUGUUCUCAGAAAUGAGCUAUCAUGUGUGAAGAUUCAUGGCUUUCAACCCAAAUGCUCAAUCUUAUGGCCACAUUCAUGGCAUAGUUUAUUUAAAUGAUCUAAUAUUAUGCACAAGGGUGCAUAUUGGAAUGGUAAACAAUGUUGUCUAAGGAAGUUUUCUUCUUCUUUGCACGGAAAUUUCAUUUUCCACUUUUCGAGUGACUAAAAUGAGUUUUUUUGUGAAGAGCCUACCAAAUAAUUGUUGUAAAAUUGGACCAAAUCAAUUUUCUAAAAUACUAGGCCAUAUUUAAUCCACAAUUUACCAAAUGGUUGGGUGUCAUAAGUUUUGAUCCACCUCUGGUGAAAAAGACAAUUUUUUGCCGAUUCAGAGGGAAGCGGGUCAAAUUUGAACUGCAGCUGCCUUAUAGUUUGCUAUUUCUUUAAAAAUAAUAAUUACAGGUACAUAAGUAUCUAUUUAAUCAUAGAAACACCAAAAGUUUUCCAAGAUUCCACCACUAGCUAGGAAUGGUCAUGCCCGCAGUUUUGACCGCAUUCUGAGACGAGCAUGAAAAAUUCAAAAAAAAUCAUUUCCCAUUUUUCGAGUGCCUAAAAUGAGUUUUUUUAGUGAAGAACCUUCCAAAUAUUUGUUGCCAAUUUGGACCAAAUCAUUUUUUAUUAAAAAUUAUAAAUUUGGAAUACGGAAAUUAUUUCAAAAAAGUAUUCUUAGAAAUAAGGUAUACAUACUUAACAUUUUUUAAGUGCAUCAUUAACAUUUUUAAUAAAUGUUUUCAUGCCUAAGUUUUUGAACAAAUGUCUAAAAUUUGUAACACAUAUUGUACAUAUUGUUUAUAUAUGUUUAACAUUUUUCAAAUACAUGAUUUUAUACGUGAAACUUUUCAAAUAGACAUUUUUUGUUGUUUUUGAAAUACAUGAUUAACCUUUUUCGGGAAUACAUGUUGAACAUUUUUACACAUUUUUAAUAUGUUUGAAAUGCUUGAUUAAUAGUUUUAAAUGCAAUUUUUUAACACACGAUCAACAUUUUUUCUCUACACAAUCUAACAUUUUCAAAUGCUUCAUUAACAAUUUUCAAAUACAAGAUUAACAGUUUUUAAUACAUGGUCAACUUUUUCUCAAAGCUUUAUUAACAUUUUCAAAUGUUUUGUUAACAUUUUUUUGAUAAUAUUGAUCCGAGGUCAUACGCAAUAUUGAUGAUGCAAUUACAUUUUAGACUAUUCAUUUUUUUGUUUGAACUCCCUUUAUUUUUUGAGAUAGAUUUGAACUCCCACUAUUUUAUGUGGACUAAAAGUUGUGGGAAGCCCACAUUUUCCACGAGAUAGACCUUUGACAGGCCCAUCGGCUGUCGGCCCGGUCGACAUAAUGGAAUUGUUAAAAAAAUCAUGUGGCAUUGUCCAAAAAGGCCCAGGCGCAACAACUUUCCUUGUGCUUUAAGGGGAUUGUGUGAUAUAGGCUAACACCAGCGAUCAGCUGGGGAGGGCGCGGGUUCGAUUCCCUCCAUGGCCAUAUUUUUGUUCCAUUAUUCACCACUACUCCACCGUGUCACUCUUGCAUCUUUGACGGUCCUAGGUCCCCAUGUCAGUCUUGCAUGUAAGGUAGGUGGGUCCCGCAUGGCGGGUCCUGCAUGUCAGCAGGGUGGCCCAGCAUGGCGGGUCUGACUGGCCAGCAAGCCAUGUGGGGUUGGGUCAGCUGAGUCUGUUUCAACCAUAUGCAAAAUUGACACAUAAGCAAACAUGACAGCUAAGCAAGACACAUGUGCAAAAUUGGUAAAAAAAGACAACUAAGCACGACACAUAGAAAAAAGUGAUGAGAUGACACCCAGUCAUAGCAAUGCACCACAAUUUGCAAGGUCAUGACCAAUUUAGAUUGGUUGUAACCGACGAAUAUAAGGUAGCAGACCAGUGUUGUCUGCUUUGCGACCAUUUCGUGUAAGGAAAUUGCGACCUUCUGACCAAAAUGGUCGUUAUGGUUUAGGGUUUGUAGCCCCUCGAACAACUUUUGACCAAUUGGUCUGAAAUGGUCAUAGAUUUACGACCAAUUCUUCCAGGGUCACUGACAGAAGGUCACAGUUGACAUAUUUCUUGUAGUGGCACAACAAACCCCGCGGUGUGGAUCGAGGAUUUUCUUCUCCACAUUCAUAUGACCCACGACGAUGAUCUUCACGCCAUCAAAUACCCCCGCUCAAACUCAAGGGACCAGCUAUAUACUGGUUAAACAGUCUGCCCGAAAACUCCAUUUGCAGCUAGGAGGAAUUGGAGGACGCCUUCCUCGACCACUUCCAAGGCACAUAUGUCCGACCUCCGGAUGCCGAUGACCUAAGUCAUAUAAUCCAACAGCCCGGAGAGUCAGCCAGGAAAUUCUGUACUCGGUUCCUAACUAAAAAGAACCAAAUCAUCGACUGUCCGGACGCCAAAGCCCUAGCGGCCUUUAAACACAGCAUCCGCGACGAACGGCUGGCCAGACACCUCGGCCAAGAAAAACCGAAGUCCAUGUUAGCCCUUACGACACUCAUGACCCGCUUUUGUGCGGGCGAAGACAUCUGGCUAGCUCGUGGCAACAAUAAUACAAGCGAACCUGGCACUUUUAAAGCCAGAAACAGCAACGGCAAGCCCCGACGCAGUAGACAUAAGUGUCGAAACAACGUCUCAAAUCAAAUCAGAACCAACGAUGUUUGUAAUGUUGUCUUAUUCAUGGUUGAACCCUCGAGCAUACACCAUUACAUCUUUUGGUCUGACUAAUGCUAUCACCUUGUUCACCUAGUCAUGGAAUUCCAUUUUAUGGAAAUUUUGAUAAAUUGUUGUUGAGCCCAUCGACAACAUCCUUAUCCUCUCCAUGAUUUUGUCGGACAUCAAGCUAGUGUUGGAAACUUGUGUAAGCAUUUCUUCGUGUUUCGUUCAUGAAGCAUAUGUUUGGAUGAAAGAAGUGACUACCUCUGAUUCACAUGUACUUGGUGAAAGUUGCCGCCGUGAAUUCGAGAAAGUUUGUCUUGCCUCCUCUGGAAUCAUCUCAAGUCAGUCAUGCAUGUGCGAAGUAUACAUUGGUUUGUGAGACUAGCUACCUUCAUUCCAUAUGUAUCCCUAGCAUACUAAGCCACUAAUUGAUUUGUUCAGGGAGAAGAAGUUCCUUCUUAAGAGCAUGCCUUAUGUAAGGACUUUGAUAUCCUCGAUGAUGGUUCCCCACCUGAACUCGGUAGUGUUUUAUUAUAAGACUACUACGUGGUCAUGCUUGUCUGGGACAACAUGUUCACAUGUGUGUAGCAGAACCAUCUCAUGUUUUGGAGCUUGCUAUCGUAGUCCAUUUCCCGAGAAUCUCGCAACAUCAUCUCUUCGGUUUGUGUUGCAAAUUUUCUUUUCCAGACAUGCUAUCUAAAAUGUCCUGUUACCAACCAGAUCUGAAUCUCAGGCAGAUAUGAUGGUUGGAACUAUUCCAAGAUCUAUGAUGUAGGUCCCGACAAGGUUGAUGUUGGCCGACACACCUAGCCGGAAGAUCUAUCAUUGUAGUAUCUUGAAUGAGCAAUUUUCCCAUCUUCUCUAUAAGGAUUUCAUGUGACUUUUCUAGAAGUGUUCCUUAUAAAUCCUUUCUCUUCUGAAGUCUGGCUAUACUUGAUGGCCACGUUAAUGCUUUAAUUAUGACUGUGGUAUGUAGAACAUCAAGGAGAACAUUAGAAGCGGAGUGCUAAAUGUCUCUCGGUCGAUCAUCCAGAUUUUGUUCCUUGGCCCCGCUGAGGUGAAAUCUGAGAAGGUGUUAUCUUCCUUUGCAUCUGCAUCUUCUACCGACAUUCAUCAUGGUAAUACAUUGUGUUGCCAGGAUCCUUGACACGGAUAUUGGUAAUACCUUGAUGAAUAUGGAAGUGCUCAAGUUCUUGAGAGCACGCACAAGCGCUAGGUGUUAUCACUGGCACUAACUGGGAUUGCUCUCAGUUUCCUUGGUUAUGCUAUAACUUUUCAAACAGUGGACUCACUCUCUACUGUUGAGCUUCUCCCCAGUUACUAAAAUCAUCCCUUGUGUUGUUUUCAACAAGGUAAUCCACAUCAUCCAUUCUAAUCCGGGUAUUCCAUUCUACCGAACCCCUCCAAAUGAUCGCUCGAGAAUUGCCUUGGCCUGGUAUAAAGAGUUUCAAUUAUCUCUAUUUCAAAGGUAAUUCUUUUUGCCACUCAAGGGAUGAUUCCAUGAGUCACCUUCUCCAAAAUGUCUCGUUAUGGUAAAAUGGCAAUUCAACUCCUCGCUACGUUGACAACCAUUCACCACCCUCUUAAGUGUGGAAUUGUUGUCUACCUAGUGAACCCUCAUCAUCUGUUUCACCCCAUCCCUUUGGAUGUGUGUUUCGUGUCCCAGCUCGAGAGAUGUUGCUAUGACUCACUCUGUGAGUUGAUCCUAAGUUGAUUGAUCUUCGAGAAGAUCGAUUCUUCUGGAGUUGUCCCAUUCCUCUCGUUGUCAUGUUAGUUGGAGUUCUCAGAGCAAGACGACGAGACAAAGAUGGUGAUCAAAUUAACGCCCUUAGGAAGUGCCACCUGGAUCGUGAAGAUUGUGUUAGUUUGCGUCCCCCUUCAUCUUACCCUAUGGUUGAAUCUCGGGACGAGAUUCUUGUUUAGUGGGGGCGAGUUGUCACAUCCCUAGUCCUGGUAUGCAGUAGGCUAGCCCUUCAUGUGUGCAUCAUGUUUAACUUUUCAAAUGAACUCGAAAUGGGGGAUGUUCAAACCCUUGCACCAGAUCAAAUCAACUAGGUUCAAAUAAAAAUAUUCUCAAUGAACCCAAAAUGCUCUUCAGAAAAGUUCAUUAUUUUUGGGUUGGUCUAGAACCUCUCCCAAAAUGGUGCACAUUUUUCUAGGCCAUUCUGGAUUUCUGAAUUAAAUCUUAUUGUAUUUGACUUUGGGCAUUUAAAUUCUAUAAAUAAUUUAAAUGUUCAAAUAAUGUUGGGACUAUUUUUGGGCCACUGAAAUAAUUCAGCAAGUGUCCAUGAAUAUUUUCAGGAUUUUAGGAAAUGCCUUGGUAUUUUUCCUAAGCUCAAAACAGAGGCAAAUAAUUAGAAAACAAAAACAAAUAGAAAAACAGAAUUUAAAAGGGAGAGAGAAGGACUUACUUGGCAGCCCAGCCAACCCACCACAGUAGCAGCCCAGCCGGGCAAAGCCAGCCCGGCCCACCAGGGGCAGCACUGUCUUCUUCCUCUUGCCAGGAGGAGAAGCAGCUGCGUGCACGACGCCAUGGAGCGCCAUGCAGCCCCUUGGCCCCCUCUCACUCUCUCCUGUGCUCCUCCCCCUCCUCUGUUUCUCCCUCCCGCGAAUGCCCGAGCGCGCUCGUCGCCACCGUUUGCUGGCACCGUGUCCACCGCACCCCCCUCGCUCCCCCGACCGGCCCACAAGCUCGGCCGUCAUCCGCUACACCGUCUCCGCUGAUCUACGCGACCGGAAGGCCCUCGGAGUGCCGCCAUUGAUGUCAUCUUCAUCCUCGGGUUCCGAUGAUUGCCGCCGGGAUUCCGACGCCGUCAAGCCUUCCCCGAGCCCGCUUCGACGACCUCUGCAACCACCGUGAGCUCCCGUAUCGUAACCUCCUCUCCCCGAGAUCAUUUACGCCCUGUAGUCAUCGCCCCCUUGCCGACCGAAUCGCGCCGCCGCCUGGCCUCGUCGCUGGCGUGGCCCCGUUAACCAUUUGGUCACGGGCGUGCACCCAUUGAGCUCGCCAUGACCCGUAGAGCCCCCCAGCGCCUAACCUUGCUCGUUAGCAUGCCGCGACGCCACUUACGCCGUUGCCCGUGCUCCGGCAGCCGCCUUUGUCGUUGUUAUCGCCGACUCGCUUCACCCAGGCUCCAGCUGCGGCCAUCAUUGGACGCGCCGCAAUGCGGUCGUUCCAACAAGAGCAACCCCGCCUCCUCUUGUCGCCGGAAUCGCCGGGACGAGCGACGCCGCUGCACUGGAUGGUCGCCGGCGGCCUAACUUCGGCCACGCUGAUGUGGCCGCGUGAUUAGCGGCUAAUCCCCCACUAAACAACCCCCUAGCCAAUGACACAUGGGUCCCAUGCCCUUAAUUAAUAUUAGUUUAGCUCCUGUUUAGGUUUAACUAACCACAGUGGCCCCACGCGUCAGCUUUGACUGCGCUGACGUGGCCGUUGAUUGGGCCCACAUGUCAGCGACACAAACCAGCCUGAAACACUGACGUGUGGACCCAACUGGCCAGGUUUGACCUGGACCAGCCCCGUUGACCACUGACGUCACCCUAACGCACUGCUGACGCAAUAACUCAUUUUCUGGAUUUAUUCUUUUACAUGAAAUUCCAGAAAAUAACCAAAACUUCUAAAAUUCAUAGAAAUUCAACCGUAACUCCAAAUUAAAUAAUUUAUAUAUGAAAAAUGAUCAGAAAAAUCCAAUCUAUCCAUCUGUACAAUUUUCAUGCAUGUUAGAACAACUUAUAGAUGCUGUUUAGCAGAAAUCAUAUAAAUGACAUUUGAAUUUCACAUAUGGAGUUUGGAUUUGAACUUAGGGUUCAAACCAACUUCAUUUAACUUUGUUGCUAGCUACAUUAGCUCAAAACACCAGCAUGUUGCCAUGUCAUGAUCAUGCAUCAUAAUGUUACAUUGCAUUGAUUGUGUUUCCUCUCUGUUGCCGGUAAUUGUUCUCUCUCAGUAGACGUGGUCCCGACGAUGAGAUCGAUGACACCGAUGAAGAACAAUAUUAUCUUCAGAAGUGCCAGGCAAGCAAACCCCCCUUGUUCAUUUCGAUACAAUCCCACUCUCUCGCUCCUGCUCUCUUUUACUGCAUUAGGACAACAACGAUUCAACUGUUACUUGCUGCGGUAGUUGAACUCCCUUAUCCUCUGCAUGACCUGUCAUUGCCACAGUAAAUAGAUGAAACCCACUAGCAUGAGUAGGAGUUGUUUGAGCCCUGACGUGCCUACUCAUUCAUGCUUGUUUGUCAUGCCUGCUACUGCUUAGAUUUGAGUCAGGUCUGAUUCAUCGGGAAUGAAUUGGAGGUGUGUAAACAUGUCCUACUGUGUGUGAACUAAGUGUGUGAACACGAUUUGGUAAAGGUAGCGGUGAGAGGCCAUGUAGGAGUACAUGGUGGGUUGUCUCAUUGCAGCCGUCCUCAGGAACUGAGUUCUGUGUUUGUGAUCCAUGAACAGUUACUACCACACAUUGGGCUCCGGGCGCUCCAAGCUCUCUCGACUUAUUAACCAACUUGAUCUCUGUCCAGGAGUUGCAACUAGUUACUGGUGUUUGUAGGUAGUGCUAGUAGUCUACCAAGUGGCACCCGGUACAGGUGGGCUUGGGACAGACUAGGCACAGUGGCACGGUGUACCAAGUGGCACCCGGAUGGUGGGCUUGGGAACCCUGCUCACAUCGUUUGGGGCCGUGAGAGACACCCCGGCCAGAUCUCCUUGCGGAUGGAACCCGAAUAGGCGAUAAACCUGGACGAGCUUGUGUGGUUAGUCAGGUCGUGGCCGACACCCUCGUUGGGCUUCCGCUUGAAGGUUGCCGAGUACAUGUCAUGUAAAUGGCGGUAAGUGGUGAGAGCGUGUGUGAAGAAGUACAUCCCUGCAGGGUUAAUAUGAUCUAUUCGAAUAGCCGUGUCCGCAGUAAAUGACUUCUGGGUUGCCUGUACAGUUCAUAGAUAAGUGAAAGUGGAUACUCUAAAAUACGCAAGAUAAGCGUGAGUGCUAUGAUGGCGUUCUCGUAGGGAGACGGGAGCGGAUCCAUUGUGGUGUAUUGAUAUGGUGAAUAUGUGGACUCGUGUGCGCCACCUCAAAAGAGUUACUUGCAGUCGUAGUUCAGGAUAGCCACCGAGUCAAAGCUGGCUUGAUGCAGUUAAACCCCACCAUCCCCUUGUUGAUAAUGAUGCAUAUGUAUUUAGAUCUGAUGUAAGUCUUGCUGGGUACAUUUGUACUCACAUUGCCUAAUUUUAUGUUUUUGCAGAGAGACUUCAGUCUCGCUAGUAGUACCGCAAGGACUUCGACGUUUAGCUUGUUACCUCAGCUACGAUCUUGUGCCCUCGGCAGGAUCUGAUAGACAGUCAGGCUUCUCAGCCUUUUUCUUUUGUAGAUGUCUGUACUCAGACAUGUUAAGCUUCCGCUUGUGCUUGACUUGUUUGCUCUGAAUGUUGGGUCAUGAGACCCAUGAUUGUAAUAUCUCGCUCCUCGGAGCCUAUUGAAUAAAAUGCUUGAGUUGUAGAGUCAUGUUGUGAUGCCAUGUUGUAUUUGCACAUAUCGAGCAUAUUGUGUGUAUGUUAUUGAAAUGCUUGGUAUGUGUGGGAUCUGACUAUCUAGUUGUUUAUCCUUAGUAGCCUCUCUUACCGGGAAAUGUCUCCUUGUGUUUCCACUGAGCCAUGGUAGCUUGCAACUGCUCCUGAACACUUAGGCUGGCCGGCAUGUGUCCUUCUUCAUUCUUGUGUCUGUCCCCUCGGGGAAAUGUCACGCGAUGAAUACCGGAGUCCUGUUAGCCCGCUACAGCCCGGUUCAUCGGAGUCCUGCUAGCCCAGUGCUACAGCCUGGAUUCACUCGCUGAUGACCGACACGUUUGUUGUUGGGUCAUGUAUGCCUGUCCCUGUAAGUUAGUGCCACUUUGGGUUCACGACUAGCCAUGUCAACCCGGGUUCUUUGUCAUAUGGAUGCUAGCGGCACUAUCAUAUACGUGAGCCAAAAGGCGCAAACGGUCCCGGGCUAGGUAAGGUGGCACCCGUGGGAAUACCGUGCGUGAGGCCGCAAAGUGAUAUGAUGUGUUACAUGCUUGAUCGGUGUGACUUAGGAUCAGGGUCCUGACAACUUUGGUAUCAGAGCAUUUCCAAAAAUCAUGAAACUAAUCAUGACUACUGUUUGGAAUAUAUCCAACAGUAAAUUUUUUAGUUUAUGAUUAUUUGAGCAUUUAAAAUAUUUAAUAGCAUUUAAAUGCCCAAAUGCAAAUACUAUAAGAUUUAAUUCAGAAAUCCAGAAUGGCCUAGAAAAAUGUGCACCAUUUUGGGAGAGGUUCUAGACCAACCCAAAAAUAAUGAACUUUUCUGAAGAGCAUUUUGGGUUCAUUGAGAAUAUUUUUAUUUGAACCUAGUUGAUUUGAUCUGGUGCUAGGGUUUGAACAUCCCCCAUUUCGAGUUCAUUUGAAAAGUUAAACAUGAUGCACACAUGAAGGGCUAGCCUACUGCAUACCAGGACUAGGGAUGUGACACAAUGGUGAUAGUACCGAAGACACAACGGACAAUGCCGGAUUCAGUGGCUCCAUGUCCGGUCAGCGGAAGAAGACGUUCAAGAGAAAUAAUCCGGGCUCGUCCAGUCUGGACCGCAUACUAGAUCGACCAUGCCAAAUCCAUGGGACUCCUGAUAAACCAGCCAACCAUACCAACAGAGAAUGUUGGGUUUUCAAACAGGCCGGCAAGUUAAAUGCCGGGAAUAAGGAGAAAGGGUCGCAAUGCAAGGACGAUGACGAGGAACCCCGACCACCGAACACAGGGGGACAGAAGAAAUUCUCCCCCCCCCCCAAGUCAAAAUGGUGAACAUGAUAUAUGCCACCCACAUCCCCAAGAGGGAGCGCAAGCGCGCACUCAGGGACGUCUACGCGAUGGAGCCGGUCGCCCCAAAGUUCAACCCGUGGUCCUCUUGUCCGAUCACCUUCGAUCGCAGGGACAAUUCGACCAGUAUCCGUCAUGGCGGUUCAGCCGCACUUGUCCUUGACCCAAUUAUUGAUGGAUUCCACCUCACACGAGUCCUCAUGGAUGGUGGCAGCAGCCUGAACCUGCUCUAUCAGGAUAUAGUGCACAAAAUGGGUAUCGAUCCCUCAAGGAUCAAGCCCACCCAAACCACCUUUAAAGGUGUCAUACCAGGUGUAGAGGCCUGCUGUACGGGCUCAAUCACACUGGAAGAGGUCUUUGAAUCCCCGGAUAAUUUCCGAAGCGAAGAGUUAAUCUUCGAUAUCAUCCCCUUCCGCAGUGGUUACUACUACAAAAAAAUACACUUAAGUGAUGAUACGUGUUUGUCACAGUAGGUCGCGUUUUUUGUCAUGCAUGUACAUCCAUGACGAUUUUAUGACAGAAUCAAGAUAGUCAUACCCGUGCUGUCAUAGAAGUGUUCCAUGACAAUACCAAAAUUAUCAUCACGGAAGUGUCCAUUUCCAUGACGAGAAAUCACGCGUCACAGAAGUACUUUCGUCAAGGUGACCGACACGUGGCAUCCACCGUAACGGAACGCCAUUAAGCUAUCGGGUCAGGUUUUGGAUCCGAUAACUCGUUAACAGCCCGGACCAAUGGGAAAUUUGCACGUGUAAAAUUCUUAUUGGCUGGACAAAACACGUGUUAGCUCAUCAGUGGGUCAGAUAGGUGCCUAUGAUAUGUCGACACGUGCCACGGCCCACCACUGGCCCAUUUAGCUUACAAAGCCGGCCCAUUUGACUUGGUCAAAAGUUAAUGGACUGGCCCAGGAAAAGCCUAUUAACGGUCUCUUCGCAAAUAGCCCAUUUUAUGGACCGGUAACUCACAACCCGUUAGGACCUAACGGUAAUCGGCCCAACAACGUCAUGUGGGCUAUCGAAUAUAACACCAACCCAUUUCACUUUUGGCCCAUGUAUGGCCCAUGAUGUCUUUCAGCUCAUAUGAGGCCUUCAUAUUUUCAGGCCUUUUAGAGGCCCACGGUGACUCUAGCCCAUAAUGAACAGUAAUUUUUUUGUACCCGUUAACGGCCCGUGAUUCACAUGGGCCAUUUCCAGCCCAUGUUAGCUUUCGGACUAUUGACGGCCCAUAUGUUCUUGGGCUCCUUUCCGGCCCUCGAUUACUUCCGGCCCGUUACUGGCCUGUUCCCCUAAUGGGCCAAAUUUGGCCCAUGGCAAGAGUCGGCCUGUUUCUGGCCUGUUAACCCGUUGCGCCAUUUCCAGCCCGUCCUAUAUUCUGGCCCAUUAACGACCCGUUAUGCCUGUGACAGAAUUAAGCCUUUGCUUUCCUCCGGCCUGUUAAUGGUCCGUUACCGUGCUGGGCUGAUACCAAUUACACACGUUUACGGCCCAUGUAGACCCAUUUAUCCGACGGCCCGAGGCCCACCGAUUCUACGGCCCUGAUGGAGGCCCAUUUAUCGACGGCCCAUAGGAGACCCAUGGAUCCUAUGGCCCGUAUAUGGCCCAUGGUUGUUGCAGCCACUAGUAAACCAGGGAAAAAGAAUACUAGGAAAUAAAUAAGGCCAAAACUAACGCUAGGCUAUUAAGGCGAUUGCACAGAUUACAUCCACUCGGCAUUAAAGAUCGCCACCAGUGCAAAUAUGGGGAACACCCUACACUAUACAAAAAUGGCUUGCUAUUUUCUUCAGCCCGUGGCUGCACGUUAAGAACAAAUUUUGCAUCGCACCAAUACAAAUUACAACUAUAUAACAAAAGGAAGGUUGGUACAAAAAUUAACAGUCUAGAAGAUAAAUGCACCACCAGAAGUUCAAAAGCUUAGUUUGUUUGACCUGACUGUAACGUUUUCAUGAUGUAUUGUCCGAUGGAGCACCAUAACCCUCGCCUUCAUUUCUCCUAGGCUCCUAAACAACAUAGCAAAUGUCUGAUAGUCUGGUUUCAAAACCAUGCAUAUCUUGACGACAUCGAACAAUGGCUCUCCUUGUUUCACAAAGGGUCUCUAUUAGGGAAUGGACUUGUGUCUGGAGUGCAGAUACAACAUUGCUUUGAGCUUGCAUAUCUUGAUCCUGAGGCAGUUUGGAUGAGAUUGCCUUAACAACCAACCCAGUAUUACGCAGGAACGUGCUUUUGGCAUUGUUAGCGGACAAGUACUGAUCCACUGUAGCAAGAGCUUACAUUGUGGUUAUAGUUGCCUCGCCACCUUCAGAAGGUGGCGGUUCCACCAUUUUUUCCAUAGCUCACUAAAAAGUUGAGCUUGAACAUUAGUAGUACCAGAACAGAAGAUAUUAAGGAGGAAACAAAACCAAAUAAACUAGCUUUGGUCUAUAUACAGUACUUAUUCUGGUGAACCCAUGUAAAAUAUUAGUUGUAUUUUAUUGCAAAGUACAUAAUAAAACCAGGUUCCAAACAUAUGACCUUGUACCAUCGCUAAUGUAUUGUCUAUUUCUUCACAUUGUAUUGAGGGCUAAGGAUAAAGAGACGAAGUUUAAAAUAUAGUAAGCAUAGUAUGACAUCAUUCAUAUCACAAAACAACUGAGAACAGACAAACAGGCAAUUGUUACGUUGUGUGGGCAAGUCCAGCACGGAACUAGAUUACGGGUCAAGAUCAAAGGAACAUCACUCCUCUCUUUUAAACUGUGUAAGGUGCAAUGAUACGCUAAGACAAUUGUGUAUAAAAUUGAAAAGAGUAAUAGACAUUGGCUGCAAACCAUGCAGUUCAAGGCACAAGUCAGAGUAAGUAGUAGUUAAAAGACAUGAGGAUUAAGGACUUACAAUAGCGGCUUUGGUGUAGUCAUGCCCUUCUUCUUCCUGGUGUGACAGUCCUUGAAGAUUUCCACAACAUUUGAUUUAGGUACUUUUUGGUCCUUGCGGGCUUUCCUCUGCAUUUGGAACAAGUCAAUAUAGAUAUGAUAAUAUGGUACAGUGAAAAGAGUGAAACAACAGCUAAUUACAAGAUCCUCGCAGUGUGCAAUAUAGCUACAAGAUCCUGUCGUCUGUUGGAAUUUCACUUUCGUACAGUUGGCCUUGUUUCUUUGAACAGUUCACCUACAAGAAGAUAGAUUUGUGUGGCACAUGCGUAAAUAGGACUUCAACAUGUGAUCUGAUCACAUAUAUAUAAUGUACCUGAUACUUCGGAUCAGACCAGUGUUUAACGAGGCCCCUCUAGUCUUCAUCCGAGAUGUUUGGGAAAGUUCACUGUUAGCCUUGCCUUCAAAGUGAGUUUUCCUCAAGUUAUACCGAUACUGUUGCAGAGCAGACUUGAAAACAUGGGUGCAAGCUUGUCUGGUUGCAUCGUCUUGGCUAUCCAACUUGAACCUCAUCUGUUGAAAAUUAUGGGAGUCUCAUUAUCAGCAACCUAGAAAGUAUGGGACAGAGCAAGAUGAUAUUACUAGUUUCCAUACAUAACCAUACUUACAGAUAAAUGGUCGAGGAAGGUGUUGAACUGGGUUUCGUCUUUGUCAUUCCUGUACUGAAUCCAUGUUGGGAGGAUAUGUACAUGACACCUAACGGCAACCGCUGCCUCUGAUACUAACUUGGCUGACUCUGUAGCAUCACGUGGCCUUUUUAAACAUGCCUCAAAACGGAUCUCCAUUCUUCCUCCUCUAGAUUUAGUUAACCUAUCGAGCAUUAUCCCUGAUGUUUGUUUCCUCUUGCGCCUAGGUGCUAGUCCAACAACAAACUUAGGAACUGUUAGUGUACAUCAAACUGUGAGACUACAUAUAAAGAAGCAUGCAACUGUAACUUGACUCCAGCAACUACCUUCUUUCUCUUGAAGAUCACAAGGUUCAUCUGAUCUUGACAACUCGUCUUGUGUCAAGAGUGCUUGGGAAGCAGUGUCAGGUGGAAAGGGAGCUUGGGAACGUGCUGCUAGCUCAGUUGACGCACGAGUAACUCGUGCAGCUGGUAGUACUAUGGAAGGUGUUGCAAGAACUAGGGCUGUCUCUGCUUGUUUGGUGGUAGCUAUUUGUUUCUGUUUGGCUUUUUUGCAGCUCAUGUAGCAUGGGAUGCCCUGUUUUUAGAUUUUUCCGCUGGACUUUGACCUUCUAUUGCACCAUCCGUACCAGCAGAAUCUGCAGGAUUCAUCUACUUCUCAUUCCCUGCCAUUCUGUGUUUCUUCCCCUUUCUCUGUGCCAUGUUAAGUCAAGCCGACAAGAAAAAAAAUAACAAUUUAGUUCUUCAGAAGAAAUUGAUGCGUGAUGCAGACGAACAGAACUUUGAUGUUAGACAACCACAUGAUAGGAGGAUGUAAUAUGUACAAAAAACAAGGCAGGAGAGAUAACCAGAACUAUGAUGUGUAAACUAAGAAGAAGACAUUUCACCAAAUUAGAAGCAAUGCAAUGGAAGGUAGACACCAUAUGAAAGCUACUACAAAUAUUGCUCUGCCAAGUUGAUAGUGUCUCAUCAUAAAUGGUGUUUAAACACAUGUGAAGAAGUACAAGAAAUAAAUCGUAUGCAAGUUGCAAACAACAUCACACUACCAAGUUAGAGGUCUCUCGUCAUUAGUGCCAUUGCAUAUUCACAGCUUAUGAUGUGUAAACUAAGGAGAAUGCAUUUCAACAAAUUAGAAGCAAUGAAAGCUAGACACCAUAUGAAAGAUGCAACGAAUAUCACUCUAUCAAGUUAAAAAUGUCUCGUCAUAAGUGCCAUUUCAACAAAUUAGUAGUACAAGCUAGAAAAGAAUGCGAGAUGUAACCUAUACCACACUCCGAAGUCAAACGUGUCUAAUGAUAAGUGAUUGUUGCAGCUUACACAACAGUAGUAAUUUGAUGGAAGAACAUGGUGUGAUAGACAGAUAUUGUAUGUUCUAGAAAUAGGAACACGUGUCUUAUUCAAGUAUAAUGUGUAAAGUAAGCAGAUGGAAUUCAACAAAAUUAGAAGCAAUACAAGCUAGACAUCACACAUAACAUGCAACCACAUAUAACAGUGCCAAGUUAGAGGGAGCACCGGUGAUGGUGGACUAGGGGAGACGUGCUCAUCAUAAACACAACUACGUUGAGUGUCUAUGCAUGUGUUGUCUUNNNNNNNNNNNNNNNNNNNNNNNNNNNNNNNNNNNNNNNNNNNNNNNNNNNNNNNNNNNNNNNNNNNNNNNNNNNNNNNNNNNNNNNNNNNNNNNNNNNNNNNNNNNNNNNNNNNNNNNNNNNNNNNNNNNNNNNNNNNNNNNNNNNNNNNNNNNNNNNNNNNNNNNNNNNNNNNNNNNNNNNNNNNNNNNNNNNNNNNNNNNNNNNNNNNNNNNNNNNNNNNNNNNNNNNNNNNNNNNNNNNNNNNNNNNNNNNNNNNNNNNNNNNNNNNNNNNNNNNNNNNNNNNNNNNNNNNNNNNNNNNNNNNNNNNNNNNNNNNNNNNNNNNNNNNNNGUUUGGAAGGAGCACCUUUAUCCGUUGCCUUGCUAACUUCCUUCCGCUUUAUUGAUUUUGAAUUGUCAAUUAAAACCAACAAGAAAAAGCAAUAAAAUUCUCUCUUCAGAACUCAUUCAUGCAUGAUACUGACAGUCACUACAUUGAUGUAAGGCAAACACAUGAUACCAGGAUGGAAUAUGUAUGAAAAACAGGACGACAUGGCAUGUUCACAACUGUUUGUGUAAACUAAGCAGAAACCAUUCCAACAAAUAAGAAGCAAUGCAAGCUAGACACCACAUGAAAGAUGCAACCAAUAUGACUCUGCCAAGUUAAAAGCAUCCCAUCAUAAAUGGAAUUUCAACAAAUUAGAAGCAGCGCAUGCUAUAAAUCAUAUGAAAGAUGCAACUAAUAUCACACUGCAUAUACUAAAGGUGUCUCAUCAUAUUUAUUGAUGCGGGAUACAAAAAAACAAUAGUUUUUUGUAAGGACAUGCUUAAUAGAUAGAUGUACUAUGUACUAAAUACAUGAAGGCAUGUCACAUUAACAGGUAUAAUGUAUAAGCUAAGCAGACUAGCACAUGCAGUUUAACCAGAUUGGAAGAAUUACAAUCUAGACACCAUAUGCAACAUGCAACCACAUAUCACGCUACCAAGUUAGAGCAAGCACCUGCGAUGCUAGUGUAGGGAAAAUGCGGUAAUCAACUGCAGAGCUACGUUCACUAUCUUCAUCUAGACUGGCUGUUUCUUGAGAAUCAUGUCGGGAGGCUGACGCUGCAUUCUUUAAAUGAGGAGUAGUCCACUUGCCUGCCUGCCUCAUCAUAAGUGAUUGAUGAGGGAUACACAAGAACAUUAGUUUGAUGCAAGAACAUGGUUAAUACACAGAUGUACUAGUAUGUACCAAAAAUAGAAAAGUAUGUCCUAUUCAAAGGUAUAAUGUGUAAGCUAAGCAGAUGCAAUUUAACCAAAUUGGAAGCAAUACAAGCUAGACAUCCAAAUGGAGUGGUGAGCAUGAUCAUCUAGGACCUGAGAGCCUGGUGGGAGGCGGGCUGCUUCGCCACCAUCGUGGCUUUUUAGUUGGCUUCCAAGUGAUGCCUGUCUUUGCUGGGCUUGUCACUGGCUCGGCCAGUGCCCUGACUAGCUAUUUGUCUUCUGGUGCUCACAGGAUGGUGGUUCAUGUAAAAAAUAUCUUUCCUUAUCUUAAUAAAGACCAACUUCGCCCUUUCGAAUACAAGCUAGACACCAUAUGGAACAUGCAACCACAUAUGACACCGCGAAGUUAAAGCAAGCACCUGGGAUGGUGGUUCAUUGCGAGCAAGGUCAUCAACUCCAGAGCUACAUUUACCGCCUCGAUGUGCUAACACUACAUCCUUUAUAGCGCUGUAAAGUUUCGUGCCUACCCCCAAAGAAAGCUGGCACGACUUCUCUCUUUUCUUUGUUGCUUCUCUCGAGGCAAACUCUAAAAUACCCUUGCAUAAAAACACAAUAGUGAGAGUAUGGGUGAAGUGUGUGCAGAACUAGUGCACUGUAAAAGUAGCAGAUAGCAGGUGGCUGAAAACUAAAUGACUGGAGAUAUAUGAUAGCUCUACAACAUUGCAUGGCAAACAAAAUUAGAUUCUACUCCAUAUGAUUUUGUAAUAUAUGAGCACAGGAAAUGCAGGUACUCCUGCAUCACACCACCACAUGUGGUCAUAUCUAAGAUAACAGUCGACUGAAAAUAAAUAGGCCAGUCAAUUUUUUUAAUGAACCGUCCGAUCUAUAAGGAACAGGCAGAUGGCCUUCGUCUACCUCCCGCCAGUCAAUGUUCACGAUCUUUCUUGAACCGCCAGCGACCACCGGCCCAGACCUCUGCCUCCGCCGCCCCGCCCUCCCCUCGACCCCACACCAUCGUCAUGCUUGGCAGCGCCCCCAGGACAUCCCUUUAAUCCCAAGCGACCUCCAGAUCAGGCGCCAGUAGAUCUAGGCCCCACACGCCCCUAAGAUAAACACCGAGGUGCUGCUUCCCCGGCGUAGUAGGCGUACUAGCGCCUGUUACACUGGGGAAUGCUUCCGUUAAUUGGGAAUCAACUGGCCAGAAAUUGAAAUCCAGGGGGGCGACGGACCUCUAGCUAGGGUGAAAUAGUAUAUGAGGAUAAACCUUGGAUCGCGACUUACUAGGAACAUCUAGUACCAAGAAGAAGCGGUCAACUAGUGUCUUCUGUGGGAUGAAUACCAUGCAAGCAGACACGUAAGAUUUGCACGAAUAAGGGAAGAGGAGUACCCUUAUCGGUUGCCAGUGUGGUCUCCUCCAUAUGUCGCGACGAUCUUCUUUUUUCUCCCGGGAGAACCGAUGUUUUGGAGAGCCGUGAAUCCUUGGACAAACCCAUGGCCAAAUUGUAGACUAUGUUGCCGUGGACGUAUAUCAGCGGAGGGGAAGAAGAUCCGAGGCGGCGAAGGACGACGUAGCAGGACGGCAUGGUUAAACUGGCUCGGGUACGGACAGCUCGGCCUUGGCUUCAACUACUAGCCGUGGAGGGCGUUGCGGUUGAGGUUGCGGUGGAUGAAGAUGUUGGGGUAUCGGCUUUAGUGUGAUGGAGGAGGGCGGCAGUUGAUGGGUGGGAUGGUGGUGGCGGACGGAGGACGCCGGGGUUUCGCGGCUGGUGGAGAUGUAGUUUUUGCGCCCACGGAGUAUGAAUGGGGAAUCAGAUGGGUGGACAGGGGGAGGGGGGAAGAACCAUGUUUUGGUCUGGGACGCGCUUGUUUUUGGCUUUUUUGAACACAAGAUGGGACGCGCUUGUUUGAAAUUUGGGGAAAGUACAAACUUUGCCCACCUCUUAAAUUUUGGACCUACUAUGGGUCGGGGGUAGGAUGGUAAUCCCAGGUGUCCCAAAUAGUGUGCGGGAGCGAUUUCAGCCGCGCGCAUGUGUGCUUUUGCGGCCAUUGUGUAUGAAUGUUUUUCGGAGGCGGUUGCGUGGCGUCUAGAUGAAGCUACAAACCUACCCCGGUCGUUUAGACCUUUGGGCGUCGGGCAUGUAGGUUUCACGGGUCGGAGUUAUUAGAAAAGUAAUUUCAUUGUACUACCAAACAUUGGUCUCACGUGGUUUCGGACGAGUAGAGGCUCUUUUGGCGCUUCGUUCAAAAUUUUGAAACACAAGCAUUCACGUUUAGAGUACUCAUGAACUAUGAGGAUUGACCUAAAUAGACAAUGUUAUAUUUGACCUUGUAUGUCUGAAAACCUCAUUAAAUUAUCUACUUCUUUUUGAAAUUUUGACACUUGAAAAUCCUAUAACUACGAUUAUUUUGGAAUGGAGGAGCUAAAUUUGAGUCUAUUUUGUACACGACUACAUAUGCUAUUAUGUACAAAAUCAGAGCAAAGAUUGGUGCCCCCAUAAUUUAGGUAUGAUUUACAAAUGCCAUGAUAUCAAAUUCAAAUAAUUGAAUGGACUUCAUGUUGAAUUCGAUUUUUUAAACCACCUUAAGUUGAAUUCAAAUGUAUGCUAGUUCAUAGGUAGCUAUUUAUAACAUUCAUUGUGUAACUUCCGUAUGUAUAAUGUGCUUUACACACACAACAUUAACUAUACUCAUGUUUAUAUUCGAUUGCAAAAGCGAUGCAUUGUCUGGAGUUCAAAAUACUAACUAUGUGGAUCAAUUGUGUCGAAUAAUAACAUAUACAUGCUCAAAUUCGAUAGAAUCUAGAUGUCUGAUGGAUCAAUGACCGUUCCUUACGUGAAUUGCAAAUAUCAUGAUCCCAUCCUAAUAUUUGGAUACAAUUUAUAUCUUUAAUCAAUGUGUACAGCAGUCUUUUACGUGUAGUUUCAGUCUCCGUCGGUGGUCUCUCACACAUGCUCACACACUCUCUCCCGAGGUGUCUUUCUCGCACACCUGCUCUCGAUAUAAUCCUCAUUCCCUCUUGUAACCAUUUACGACUGUUUUCAAUAACCUUUAUCACAAGCACUCUUCCUCUCACAAGCAUACACAUGCACAAUCCGGAUCGACCCUUUCUAUAUACAUAGACCUGCCUACGUGUCUCCUGUACGCACAUUAUCUUUAGGCCUGUCUCUCACGCAUUGUCUCACACCUCUCUUCCUAAGCGACGAGUAUGAUUCUAGUAGAGCAUUCUGUAGGAUGCCCCUUAAAGUUAGGUUGGAUGAAUGGUAAUAUCAAAGAUAAAGGGGUUACCUUAGUCCGAGAACCUAGCGUUACAAAUCCUAGCAGGCUUUGUCAGUGGACACAGAGUCCUUCACAAUUCUGCUAUCUUUGUCAUGUACGACUAGUCAUCUAUGGGUCUCCCUAAAUACGUCACGGUCCGACCAAUGUGGCGCAGGAUGGAACCGAACGAAGGGCCUCACCUCGACCCACCGGACCUUACACGGUGACUCACCCUCUGCCCCCACGUCUCGUUAUCUUCUCACACCCACACAUACCAACACAAACACCACACACACAAAAAAAUUCUCCUGGUGCCUCUAACCCCUCCCCCCUUGCAUAUACACACUCAAGGGAAUCUCUCACCGUGACUUCAUAUUCGUCUCUCUCUAUAGACCACUCUCAUUUCUCAUGCUAUGUCUCCCACGCCCUCCCGCCAACCCCUCUAUCCAUGCCUCUCUCGAAUAUGUAAUACACACACAUACCUCUCGAGGCCCUACCAAAUGCAUCAACUACACAUUCACACAUGUUACAUCACGUACCCCAUUGAUCUAAAAAGCCCUCUCUUCACGUUUAUUUCGCAUACAACAUUCCUUUUGUAUAAAGUGUGGCCAAAAAUUAUUUUAGAAUUUCUACAUAUAUACAACAUUACAAAGUUAUAUGGAGGAGUACAAACGCUAAUUUGCAUUGCAUGGUGCCCACAAUGAUAUUUAUUCCGCAUUGUGAAUUUGUCUAUUUUUAUACUAUAUACAAAGUUAGUCAUAAUAAAGAGAAACGAAGAGCAUCUCUCUCUCCAUCGCAUACCCCCCUCUAUGCCCCUUUCACGUAUGCACACAAACUAUCACCAGGUCCUCUAAAAGUAAGCCCCCAACACAUUCACGCAUGUUUCAUCUUUCUCUCGCGAUAUAUACAAUGACGAUCAUUGUAUUUGAAGCGAGAGCACGAUACAUACAUUGGACUUCAGAAUCCACUCAUUAUGGUCACCAUUUACGUUUUGUGGUUAUUAUACAGUAACAGGCUCACCGUACAACUUUGUAUUUGCUCAAGACAUGACUAGUUGACCAGUUAAACGCUCCAUGUGGCACCUCUAGUGUUGCAUCACAUUAUCUCACUACCAUCGUGCCCACCUGUCGGCUUGUAUCUACUCUACAUCUAUACUCUUAUAAAAUACACUCUUAUAAAAAACAAAGUUGGUGAUGAUGGUGUGCCUGCCAUCCUGCAAUAUAGGCCGUCCGAUUUAUAUCUGACGGAUAGAAAAGAAACUAUGGCAAUUUUGCAAAAAAGUACCCACACACCUCUCCACAUUUGCAAAUUAGGCCUUCCCUCGUUCAUCCUUUUCUCUCACAAGAUAAACUAGUCAUACAUAUGCAUCUUGAUGUUAUGUCCAAUGCACGGGCAUCUUGCUAGUAAGAAUGAAAACAAAUGACAAAAAAAUAUUGGACGGUGGUUCGAAGUCAUGACCGCGAGCACAACGGACAAGGUGGCCUUCUAUUGGUAUGCUAAGCCGUCAGCUUUAAUACACAUGAGCUGGUGUGGUGAUUAUACACACACGCACGCAUGCACGCGAACUGCAUGCACACAACAUUCACACGAACACAUGCACCCACGCACACACGCAACACUCACACAUACACACGCAGCCACGCACACACACAACACUCACACGCACACGCACGCAUGCAUGCACACACACCAGUACACCACACGACCAACACACAC
rnacentral:lncRNA from 1 species